UGGGGAAUAUUGGACAAUGGGCGCAAGCCUGAUCCAGCCAUGCCGCGUGAAUGAUGAAGGCCUUCGGGUUGUAAAGUUCUUUUAGUGGAGAAAAUAAUGAUGGUAUCCACAGAAAAAGCCCCGGCUAACUUCGUGCCAGCAGCCGCGGUAAUACGAAGGGGGCUAGCGUUGUUCGGAAUUACUGGGCGUAAAGGGUUUGUAGGCGGUUAUACAAGUCAGUGGUGAAAGCCCGGAGCUUAACUCCGGAAUUGCCAUUGAAACUGUAUAGCUAGAGAGUGUUAGAGGAAAGUGGAAUUCCUAGUGUAGGAGUGAAAUCCGUAGAGAUUAGGAGGAAUAUCGAUGGCGAAGGCAGCUUUCUGGGACAUUUCUGACGCUGAGAAACGAAAGCGUGGGUAGCAAACAG
rnacentral:rRNA from 1 species